UACGUAGGGUGCGAGCGUUAAUCGGAAUUACGUGGCGUAAAGCGUGCGCAGGCGGUGAUGUAAGACAGUUGUGAAAUCCCCGGGCUCAACCUGGGAAUUGCAUCUGUGACUGCAUCGCUAGAGUACGGUAGAGGGGGAUGGAAUUCCGCGUGUAGCAGUGAAAUGCGUAGAUAUGCGGAGGAACACCGAUGGCGAAGGCAAUCCCCUGGACCUGUACUGACGCUCAUGCACGAA
rnacentral:rRNA from 1 species